AUUGAACGCUGGCGGCAUGCUUUACACAUGCAAGUCGAACGGCAGCGCGGGCUUCGGCCUGGAGGCGAGUGGCGAACGGGUGAGUAAUGCAUUGGAACGUGCCCAGUAGUGGGGGAUAGCCCGGCGAAAGCCGGAUUAACACCGCAUACGACCUGAGGGUGAAAGCGGGGGACCGAAAGGCCUCGCGCUAUUGGAGCGGCCGAUGUCGGAUUAGCUAGUUGGUGGGGUAAAGGCUUACCAAGGCGACGAUCCGUAGCUGGUCUGAGAGGACGACCAGCCACACUGGGACUGAGACACGGCCCAGACUCCUACGGGAGGCAGCAGUGGGGAAUUUUGGACAAUGGGGGCAACCCUGAUCCAGCCAUGCCGCGUGCGGGAAGAAGGCCUUCGGGUUGUAAACCGCUUUUGUUCGGGAAGAAAUCCUCUGGGCUAAUACCCCGGGGGGAUGACGGUACCGGAAGAAUAAGCACCGGCUAACUACGUG
rnacentral:rRNA from 1 species